rnacentral:misc_RNA from 1 species
AACGCACCUUGCACCCUUUGGUAUUCCGAAGGGUACACCCGUUUGAGUGUCAUUGUAAUCUCACUACGAUCGACUUUUUGUCUUUCCGUAUGUGGACUUGGAUGCUGCCGUGAUAUUCACGACUCGUCUGAAAUGCCUGAGUGUACCCUGCUUUGCGGCGUAUUCGGUGUGAUACAUCUUCACCGGAGUUGAUCCUUUUGGGUCGCGUCUGUAAUGGUGUGGCUCUAUGCUUCGAACCGUCUCCAAGAGAGACAACCUCUGACAAUUUGACCUCAAAUCGGGUGGGACUACCCGCUGAACUUAA